rnacentral:miRNA from 1 species
ACUGCAAUGUAAGCACUUCUUAC